GGCGUAGCUCAAUGGAAGACAAUCUGUUUUCCCUGCAGAAGGUCCCAGGUUCAAUCCCUGAAAUCUCCA